rnacentral:rRNA from 1 species
UACGAAGGGGGCUAGCGUUGCUCGGAAUCACUGGGCGUAAAGCGCACGUAGGCGGAUUGCUAAGUCAGGGGUGAAAUCCUGGAGCUCAACUCCAGAACUGCCUUUGAUACUGGCGAUCUCGAGUUCGGGAGAGGUGAGUGGAACUGCGAGUGUAGAGGUGAAAUUCGUAGAUAUUCGCAAGAACACCAGUGGCGAAGGCGGCUCACUGGUCCGGUACUGACGCUGAGGUGCGAAAGCGUGGGGAGCAAACAGG